rnacentral:lncRNA from 1 species
GGAAGACAAAGAGACGCAAAUGCGUGAACGAGAUGAGACUCUCUCUCUCUCUCUCUCUCUCUCUCUCUAACUCUAACGCAGGGAUCUUCUUUUCUCAUUCUGAGAGGAACCAAAAAUGAGCGCGAUCGAUCUAAACCCCUACGGCGACGGUGCAUUGUGCUCGUCUUUACGCUCGCGGUGUCGACGACGAAAUCGAAGCGGCUCUUCAGGUUCCUAGUCUUCCUUUCCUCAGUCGUUUCGUUUGUUAAUUGUGUUUGGUUGCAGACAAAAUUUUACAAAGAAAGACAGGGAAAACGAAGGUUGAGUGUAAUGUGAUGAAAUAUACAGAAAGUCGAGAAGGCUUUGACGGAGAGUAGUUGGGCUACAGAGUUACAACGAAUGUGGAGAUUAAGGCUCGAUUUGUGGAGGAAGUUCCUAAGCUGCCCAAAUUGGCUCAGAAAAAAGGUGAACUCAAAUCUAUGUUUUUAAAUUUUAAAUUUCAUAUUUGUUUUUUCAAUUGUUGUGUUUAAAUUGAAAUUUUAUGAAAGAUGCUUGAUUAGAUAUGAUUUGGUGAGUCACAUUCAAUUCUGCCAGUGAUGAGAUUGUGUGUAGAUAUUAAGUGUGAUAAUAUCUCCAAAUUGAUGCCAUAUUCUUAUAACAAUGAUUCUGAAACAAGAGCGCUUCUUGUAAUGGAACAAAACAAUCUUCAUCAAUGAAAUAGGCUUACUGUAGCAAAAUCUAGCAGGAACAAGACUAGGAAGUUGAGGUUGGGGAUUUUAUUUUAUUUUUUCCAAGAUAGGACACAGAGGAAGCUAAUUGGAGACAAUUUGAUUCUAAAACGAUUGGCAUAAGAAUUGGGACUCUGAAAAUCCUUGCAGAUAAAGGAACCCAAAUUUGGGCGUGGAAUAGCAUCAGUUUCUUUAACCCUAAUGACCUGGACUGUGUUGAUUCUCAGGCUUGAUAUUGGAGUCAUUUCUUUUCUCAAAAUUUACAAUCUCUGAAAAAAUACAAAUUUCUGAGAAGGGCUUCAUGUCAUCUGCUUUUUGUUAAUUCCUUCUACCAUACACCAUUUCAUUUUUAAUGCUUAUAUUUGACCGUCAAACAACCUUUUAACAUGUUACCCUGCUUCAAAACUUUACUUGCCACCUUAUCAUGUUUCCACUGCACAGUUGGUAGCUGAUGUGAAUUUUGCUCCGAUAACAGAAAUUGAGUCAUACUUGGGUCAAUUGUUGAUCACUAAUUUAUAGAUACUUGAUUCAUACUUUUCGAUCACUAAUUUAUAUCAAGAGCUGAAAUGGCUGUCAGGGGCAAGAUACUAAAUGUACAUACCUAGACUUAUAUCUUCAAACCUAGAUUUGUUGAUUUCUAUCAACUCUAUUAUGUCUUAAGACAUUGUGUAGAUUCAAUUUGUUUUGCAUCCUGUCUAAAGUUGACAAACUCCACACUUAUAACACUAAGCUGUUUGCUUAUAGUUUCAAUGCCGCACAAUAGCAGGUUACAGGGCUGUCAAAAGAAGAACUAGAAACGCGUAAUGACUUCGUUCUUUUCCUGCCUGAGAGGAUUCAAGAAAUACCAUAUGGAACAAAAAGUGCAGCCAGAAAAUCUGGGGGAUGGGGAACUUCAACUUCUUAUAAGAUAAAUGUGUCGUAUGUUGGAAAUUAAUUUCAGCAUUUCCUUAUGUGUCUGGAAUGAUAAACAAGGAUACAGAACAAAUACCAGGCUGGUGUAAUGACCCACAUCUGACUCCUUGUGCCGCGUAUGCUCUCUCUCUCUCUCUCUCUCUCUCUCUCAUGUGCCUUUCUAAGCAUGCACUUGUGUUCACAUCCAUGCUGGGUGUGUGCAUGCAUAUAGUAUGUGUGAAUUCGCCUGCUCUAAAACAAUGUGUGUAUAGCUUGUCCAGUGCACUCUGGACAAUGUGCCCAUUUAUGCACAAUGCUAUUUAUGGUUUGUUUCUUUACUUUAAUUGUUCUAUUCUUUGGGUGCUUCUUGCUAAAAUUUUAUGAAAAUGGUCAAUUUUGUAAAUAUGAGGUUUAUUCUGUUGAAAAGUUUACUAAGUUUGGACGUUAUACGUACUUGAAAGUUUUGCAAGAUUAGAAAGCAACGUUAGCUUGAAGGAAGAUUCAAUAGCUGGAAGGAGAUGAUAUUUGUUCUUUCUCUUAGUUUUUGGUCUCAAAUUGUAGUCAUAAUGAUUCUAACAGUUAAAACUUCCAUCUGACUAUUGUUCAGAUUUAUGGAAAUGAUGACCCUUGUCCUUUCUGGGGAAACUUGGCGUUGCAGGGCAUAUGAUUCAGGUAUGGUCUAUCUUUAGAAUUCAUACUAAUCACUUACAAACAAGAUCUUUCUGAAUCACACAAUCUUCUCCUCUAAAGGAUUUUUAUUUAUUUUUUCUUCUUUGACUUCCUUGAAAUUGAUAAUGAAAUGCUUUGUUGUAUGCUUGUAGAAUGAUUUAGUGCAUGGAUGGGGAUUGGAUUUUUCUCUCAGAAGAUCUAUAGAGGUUAGCAUUUUUUUCAUUUUGUUGUUUGUUCCUCUUCUUCGUAUUUUCUUUUCCAGGAUUUUUGCUGCUAUGAUAUUUGCCUUGAAUGGUUGUUUAUGUUUCAAUUGCUCACUUUCAGACCUGCACUAGAAGAUGCUUGUUAGCACAAUAGUAAAGACGUUGUUUAGUGGUACUCUUGUUACUUAUGAAUAAAAGUUAAAAGCUUAAGUUUCAUUUAAUGUCUGCAGAGGACUUCCUUGACUGGAAAGAAAUGAAGUAUCAAGUAUCAAGAUUAAGUUGGACUUGCUUGGACCGUAUGCAUCAACAGGAAGGAAUUUGAAUAUAAGUGCCAACUCAAUUCCAGUCUAAAUAUUAAGCAACAGAAUCAUGUCUAAUUUUUGGAAUGCAAUCCUCUAGAAUGGUAAAUUAGGCAUGCUAGCCUGUACUAUUCACCGAAGUGUUGCAACUGCUAGAUGCUCUAAGAAUCUUGUUUUGUCUGUUCUUUUUAUUUUUCUCUCACCAGCCCACACAUGAAAAAUUGGCGUGGUUGAUUCACAGAUGAUUGUUCAUCAAGUAAUUCAUUCUGUUGGGAGCCAGGUGAGUCAUUAUUGUUAUCUGUUACACCCAUUAUAUGCAGAUUGUACAUAAACAUGUGCCUAUCCUGUGAAGGGUCUAGUAAAACUUAAGCAAGGGGUACUUCUUGCCUUAGUUUUAGAAUAUUAUAUGAAACGUGAAUGAAAUGCUUUAUUGAAUGCUU